rnacentral:rRNA from 1 species
CUCAGGAUGGGUAGCAGGUGUGAGAGCACGACCUGCGUCACUGGGACUGAGACACUGCCCAGACACUACGGGUGGCUGCAGUCGAGAAUCUUCGGCAAUGAGCGCAAGCUUGACCGAGCAAUGCCGCGUGCGGGAAGAAGGCCUUCGGGUUGUAAACCGCUGUCAGAGGGAACGAAAUGCCAGUGGGUACUCUCAUUGGUUUGACUGAUCCUCAAAGGAAGGGGUGGGCUAAGUUCGUGCCAGCAGCCGCGGUAAGACGUACCACCCGAACGUUAUUCGGAUUUACUGGGCUUAAAGAGUCCGUAGGCGGCCAAGUAAGUUGGGUGUGAAAUACCUCGGCUUAACCGAGGAGCUGCAUUCAAAACUACUUGGCUUGAGAGAGACAGAGGUGAGCGGAACUGAUGGUGGAGCGGUGAAAUGCGUUGAUAUCAUCAGGAACACCGGUGGCGAAAGCGGCUCACUGGGUCUUAUCUGACGCUCAGGGACGAAAGCUAGGGGAG